rnacentral:misc_RNA from 1 species
AACUUUCAGCAAUGGAUCACUUGGCUCUCGCAUCGAUGAAGAACGCAGUGAAAUGCGAUACGUAAUGUGAAUUGCAGAAUUCAGUGAAUCAUCGAAUCUUUGAACGCACCUUGCGCCCCUUGGAAUUCCGAGGGGCACACCCGUUUGAGUGUCGUGAACAUCCUUCAACCUUUCUUGGUUUCUUAACCGGGGAAGGCUUGGACUUUGGGGGUCUUUCAUUGCUGGCCUCUUUGAAGCCAGCUCCGCCUAAAUGGAUUAGUGUGGUCUGCUUUGCCGAUCCUUGACGUGAUAAGAUGUUUCUACGUCUUGGGUUUCGCACUGUCGCUUUAGACCCCGCUUCUAACCGUCUAGCAUUCAAGACAGAGUUUUAACCCUUGACCUCAAAUCGGGUGAGACUACCCGCUGAAUUUAAGCAUAUCAAUACUCGUAGGCU